UACGUAGGGUGCAAGCGUUAAUCGGAAUUACUGGGCGUAAAGCGUGCGCAGGCGGUUGUGCAAGACCGAUGUGAAAUCCCCCGGGCUUAACCUGGGAAUGGCAUUGGUGACUGCACGGCUAGAGUGUGUCAGAGGGGGGGUAGAAUUCCACGUGUAGCAGUGAAAUGCGUAGAGAUGUGGAGGAAUACCGAUGGCGAAGGCAGCCCCCUGGGAUAACACUGACGCUCAUGCACGAAAGCGUGGGGAGCAAACAGG
rnacentral:rRNA from 1 species